CGGACGGGUGAGUAAUGUCUGGGAAACUGCCUGAUGGAGGGGGAUAACUACUGGAAACGGUAGCUAAUACCGCAUAACGUCGCAAGACCAAAGAGGGGGACCUUAGGGUCUCUUGCCAUCGGAUGUGCCCAGAUGGGAUUAGCUAGUAGGUGGGGUAACGGCUCACCUAGGCGACGAUCCCUAGCUGGUCUGAGAGGAUGACCAGCCACACUGGAACUGAGACACGGUCCAG
rnacentral:rRNA from 1 species